rnacentral:lncRNA from 1 species
CUGACUCACACAGAGGCAGCUUCCAGCCUUCCACAGUUCUUCCAAUUCGACACAGUUAUUUAUUUAUUUUUUUAAGGUCCAAACUCCUGUGCAGAGCAAGCAUCCAAAUGCUGUCAUCCUCUCAGCCCCAUGCUCUAGCUCAUUUUUCACACCACUGGAUUUAAUUUACUAUUAUCGUGCCUGGAAUGUGUUUGCAUCUGUAUUCUUGAGAGAUUGCUAUACAGCUCAUUUGAGGCCUCACAAGAUUAAAACUUGGUAAGAAAGUAGACACGGAAGUGUGUCUCUGUCCAGUUCCACCUAAACUGUGCUGGCAGAAACUUUGGCUCCUGCUGCUUAGCUCCUUCAGCGACCUGCGAGUCUGUCUCACGAAAAGAUACCGACCGCCAUCUUGAAUUUCUAAGCACUAAACACGAAGAGAUAUGCUUCAGACCCUCUGAGCCCCUUUGUCUGCGUGGAACGGGUCUCUAGUCGCGGGUGGACAAAGCGUAGGAUGAGUGACAAACAGACGCACACAGGAGAGGUCGAGGAAUCUGAAUGUCAUUUUUCAAAUCGAGCAUCAGACUUUUUAUGCAGAAGACAAUAAGGAAGUUGGAUGACAUACCUGCAAGGUACAAAUGAGCUUUCCCAGAUAUCUCUGAAGAUACCAUUUUGAAUAGGACUCACAUCACUCACUGCCUUGGUAGGGUCAUCUUUGUUCCACAAGAGGAAAACUGUCCACGAGAGGGUGGAGAUCACUCUGGCCAUGCAUAAUCAGAUUAACAUCAACGGUCCUUUACUCUGAAGAAGCCAUGGAGACCCCUCUUGCUGAUUAAGCCAGCUCAGGCUCCUGUGGAUGCUAUGGCCCUGGGCACUGAGCCCAGCAUCUGAACUUGUUCCUGGACCAGAGGUUCGAGAUGUCCACUUCUGAGGCCAUUUACUUCUUUGUGGGCCACCAGCUGUU